CGACUACCAACAUUAAAUUGUCAGCAGCUGUUGCCAACUUCCGGUGUUUGGCGUUCGGCGUUCAUUUCGCACUGCAGGCCGGCUGCCUCUCCUGCCCGCUGCGGGACCGCCGGCAGACGCCGCCGACCGGCCGACGCUGGAGGUUCCGGGAGAGAGGGGAGGACCCACGCUGCUCCGCCCACGCAGACCCUCCCCAACCGGGUCAGACCGGUUCAGCUCACCGCCACUCGCUCGGGGGUUAGACAGACGGACGGACGGACGGACAGACAGACAUACGAGAUGUCCGUGGCGGUGGGAGAGGGUUUCCGACCUAGAUGCUGCCAGUUUUCGGGUCAAAUCAUUGCAUUUACACAGUAGAUCACUGAUUCAACAUUAUCACUCACUCAAUGCCAUCAUGUUGGAAUAACUCAGUACAUCAGA